rnacentral:rRNA from 1 species
AUACGUAGGGCGCAAGCGUUAUCCGGAAUUAUUGGGCGUAAAGAGCUCGUAGGCGGUUUGUCGCGUCUGCCGUGAAAGUCCGGGGCUCAACUCCGGAUCUGCGGUGGGUACGGGCAGACUAGAGUGAUGUAGGGGAGACUGGAAUUCCUGGUGUAGCGGUGAAAUGCGCAGAUAUCAGGAGGAACACCGAUGGCGAAGGCAGGUCUCUGGGCAUUAACUGACGCUGAGGAGCGAAAGCAUGGGGAGCGAACAGGAUUAGAUACCCUGGUAGUCCAUGCCGUAAACGUUGGGCACUAGGUGUGGGGGACAUUCCACGUUUUCCGCGCCGUAGCUAACGCAUUAAGUGCCCCGCCUGGGGAGUACGGCCGCAAGGCUAAAACUCAAAGGAAUUGACGGGGGCCCGCACAAGCGGCGGAGCAUGCGGAUUAAUUCGAUGCAACGCGAAGAACCUUACCAAGGCUUGACAUGGGCCGGACCGGGCUGGAAACAGUCCUUCCCCUUUGGGGCCGGUUCACAGGUGGUGCAUGGUUGUCGUCAGCUCGUGUCGUGAGAUGUUGGGUUAAGUCCCGCAACGAGCGCAACCCUCGUUCCAUGUUGCCAGCGCGUAAUGGCGGGGACUCAUGGGAGACUGCCGGGGUCAACUCGGAGGAAGGUGGGGACGACGUCAAAUCAUCAUGCCCCUUAUGUCUUGGGCUUCACGCAUGCUACAAUGGCCGGUACAAAGGGUUGCGAUACUGUGAGGUGGAGCUAAUCCCAAAAAGCCGGUCUCAGUUCGGAUUGGGGUCUGCAACUCGACCCCAUGAAGUCGGAGUCGCUAGUAAUCGCAGAUCAGCAACGCUG